UAUAAGUCAAAAUUGCGCUAAGCGCAAUUCAUUCAAUACAACUUAAUACAACCUGAGAACAACUUAGAAAAUUAAUUAAAUAAUACACUUCGAAAAUGUGUCAUUCAUGCACGAACACGCGUUUGUCCCAGAGACACAACAACUUCUCAUAUUUCUACCGAAGACGAUUCUUGAACGACGCAGAUCGAAAAGAUUUCUACGUCGGGCUGCUAGACGAAAUCGCCGGGUGCGAUCUCGACCUAGCGACGAAAUUCAGUUCAUACAUCGCUGUUAUUCAGAAUGAUUUCCAAGACAGACUCCCAGAAUGGCUACAACACCCUCUGGAACGUCUGAAGUUAAAAGAAGCCUUUCGGUACUUUCUCACGCAAAGUUGCAGUAAAGACUCAACGUCACGACAAAUCCUAGAAAAACUCACGCGAAACCUGCCGCAGUUCAUCAUCGAUGAACUUAUCGACUGCGCCAAGGACCUGCCGCACACCACCAGCAGUUACAUUACAUUAUUAAAACGACGAAGUAUAAACAACUGGUCGCGUAGCAGUAGUAUAAUUCGUUUGGAGACAGUCGCAUAGCUUCAUUUGACUACUGCGACUUCGCCAGUGUUUAGUGCUUCUAUCUCGUUUCUUAGAUUAUUACUUUGUAUAUGUUAUACUCUAUUUAAUUAUUAUGUAAUUGUUGUACGAAAAGUAGCGGAAACGGCGACCUUUUAACGGUCGUAAUUGUUGCGCUAUCAUUUUUAUUAAAGAAAAUACACACACGCACACGUGAAAAUCACAGAA